UACGAAGGUCCCGAGCGUUGUUCGGAGUCACUGGGCGUAAAGGGAGCGUAGGCGGUGCGGUAAGUCAGAUGUGAAAUCCCGGGGCUCAACCUCGAAACUGCAUUCGAUACUGCCUUGCUAGAGUACUGGAGAGGAGAUCGGAAUUUACGGUGUAGCAGUGAAAUGCGUAGAUAUCGUAAGGAAGACCAGUGGCGAAGGCGGAUCUCUGGACAGUUACUGACACUGAGGCACGAAGGCCAGGGGAGCAAACGGG
rnacentral:rRNA from 1 species